rnacentral:rRNA from 1 species
UACGUAGGUGGCAAGCGUUGUCCGGAAUUAUUGGGCGUAAAGCGCGCGCAGGCGGCCUCUUAAGUCUGAUGUGAAAAGCCCCCGGCUCAACCGGGGAGGGCCAUUGGAAACUGGGAGGCUUGAGUAUAGGAGAGAAGAAGUGGAAUUCCACGUGAGCGGUGAAUGACGUAGAGAUGUGAGGAACACCAGUGGCGAAGGCGACUCUUGGCCUAUAACUGACGCUGAGGCGCGAAAGCGUGGGGAGCAAACAGG